GCGUGAGUGGCUCAGUGGUAGAGCAUCUCCUUGCCAAGGAGAGGGUCGCGGGUUCGAUCCCCGUCUCGCGCU
rnacentral:tRNA from 1 species